AUUGAACGCUGGCGGCAUGCCUUACACAUGCAAGUCGAACGGCAGCACGGGAGCAAUCCUGGUGGCGAGUGGCGAACGGGUGAGUAAUAUAUCGGAACGUGCCCAGUAGUGGGGGAUAGCCCGGCGAAAGCCGGAUUAAUACCGCAUACGACCUGUGGGUGAAAGCGGGGGAUCGCAAGACCUCGCGCUAUUGGAGCGGCCGAUAUCAGAUUAGCUAGUUGGUGGGGUAAAGGCCUACCAAGGCGACGAUCUGUAGCUGGUCUGAGAGGACGACCAGCCACACUGGGACUGAGACACGGCCCAGACUCCUACGGGAGGCAGCAGUGGGGAAUUUUGGACAAUGGGGGAAACCCUGAUCCAGCAAUGCCGCGUGAGUGAAGAAGGCCUUCGGGUUGUAAAGCUCUUUUGUCAGGGAAGAAACACCGGCUCUAACACAGUCCGGGAAUGACGGUACCUGAAGAAUAAGCACCGGCUAACUACGUG
rnacentral:rRNA from 1 species